UGGUCAAUGAUGACAAGCCCAUUGCGCAAUCUGAGUUCUCUCUCGAGAACCCAGUAAUGGAGCUCUGAGAACGGACUGAGACCU